GGUUGAAAUAGUGGGUGUUACAGAAGGAGUAGUAGUAGUAGUGAGUGUAAUAGUAGGAGUAACUGUUGAAGUUUGAGUAACUGUUGGAGUUUGAGUAACUGUUGGAGUUUGAGUAACUGUCGAAGUUUGAGAAGGUGUGGAGGUAAUAGUUAUAGUAGGAGUUACUGAGGAUGUAUUUGUAAUAGUUUGAGUAGGUUGGGGCAGGUGAAAUCCCGACUGAAUCAGCGAGGACCACCUCGUAAGGCUAAAUACUCCUGUGUGACCGAUAGAGAAACAGUACCGCGAGGGAAAGGUGAAAAGAACCCCGAGAGGGGAGUGAAAUAGAACAUGAAACCAUCAGCUUACAAGCAAUGGGAGGUCGAUUAUAACGACUGACCGUGUGCCUGUUGAAGAAUGAGCCGGCGACUUAUAGGCACUGGCGGGUUAAGACGGGAAUGUCGAAGCCAAAGCGAAAGCGAGUCUGAAUAGGGCGAAUUAGUCAGUGAGUAUAGGCCCGAACCCGGGUGAUCUAACCAUGGGCAGGAUGAAGCUUGGGUAACACCAAGUGGAGGUCCGAACCGACCGAUGUUGAAAAAUCGGCGGAUGACCUGUGGUUAGGGGUGAAAUGCCAAUCGAACCCGGAGCUAGCUGGUUCUCCCCGAAAUGUGUUGAGGCGCAGCGGUAGUGGAUGUAUAUGGGGGGUAAAGCACUGUUUCGGUGCGGGCUGCGAGAGCGGUACCAAAUCGAGGCAAACUCAGAAUACCCAUAUAAAAACUACUAGUGAGACAGUGGGGGAUAAGCUCCAUUGUCAAGAGGGAAACAGCCCAGACCACCAGCUAAGGUCCCCAAAUCAGGAUUAAGUGAUAAAGGAGGUGGGAGUGCAAAGACAACCAGGAGGUUUGCCUAGAAGCAGCCAUCCUUAAAAGAGUGCGUAAUAGCUCACUGGUCAAGCGCUCCUGCGCCGAAAAUGAAUGGGGCUAAAUUCUGUACCGAAGCUGUGGGAUUAGAAAUAAUCGGUAGGGGAGCGUUCCGUUGUAGAGAGAAGUACUAGCGGUAAGCAGGUAUGGACGAAACGGAAGUGAGAAUGUCGGCUUGAGUAGCGCAAACAUUGGUGGGAAUCCAAUGCCCCGAAAUUCCAAGGGUUCCUCCGCAAGGCUCGUCCACGGAGGGUUAGUCGGGACCUAAGGCGAGGCUGAAAAGCGUAGUCGAUGGACAACAGGUUUAUAAUCCUGUACUGAUUAAAGAUAGUGAAGAGGGACGGAGAAGGCUAACACAGCCGGAUAAUGGAUACCGGUGUAAGUAUCCGAGGUGAAGAGGGAUGGAGAGAACAUCCUGAGCUGAGGUAUGAGUCGGAGGAUUUACGAAUCCGAAGUGUGUGAUGUCAGGCUUCCAAGAAAAGCUCUAACCACGAUAAUUUUUAAUUACCCGUACUCUAAACCGACACAGGUGGAAAGGUAGAGAAUACCAAGGGGCGCGAGAUAACUCUCUCUAAGGAACUCGGCAAAAUGACCCCGUAACUUCGGGAGAAGGGGUGCCUGCGAGAGCAGGUUGCAGUGAAGAGGCCCAGGCGACUGUUUACCAAAAACACAGGUCUCCGCAAAGUCGUAAGACGAAGUAUGGGGGCUGACGCCUGCCCAGUGCCGGAAGGUUAAGGAAGUUGGUCAGCGGUAACGUGCAGCUAGCGACCGAAGCCCCGGUGAACGGCGGCCGUAACUAUAACGGUCCUAAGGUAGCGAAAUUCCUUGUCGGGUAAGUUCCGACCCGCACGAAAGGCGUAACGAUCUGGGCGCUGUCUCAGAGAGAGACUCGGCGAAAUAGGAAUGUCUGUGAAGAUACGGACUACCUGCACCUGGACAGAAAGACCCUAUGAAGCUUUACUGUAGCCUGGAAUUGGGUUCGGGCUUUGCUUGCGCAGGAUAGGUGGGAGACAAAGAAUACAUUCUUGUGGGAAUGUAGGAGUCGACGGUGAGAUACCACUCUGGUGAGGCUAGAAUUCUAACUUUAUCCCGUUAUCCGGGAAAAGAACAGUUUCAGGUGGGCAGUUUGACUGGGGCGGUCGCCUCCUAAAAGGUAACGGAGGCGCGCAAAGGUUCUCUCAGGCUGGUUGGAAAUCAGCCGUAGAGUGUAAAGGCAUAAGCCAGCCUGACUGCGAGACAGACAAGUCGAGCAGAGACGAAAGUCGGACUUAGUGAUCCGGUGGUUCUGUAUGGAAGGGCCAUCGCUCAACGGAUAAAAGGUACGCCG
rnacentral:rRNA from 1 species